rnacentral:rRNA from 1 species
CCUACGGGUGGCAGCAGUGGGGAAUAUUGGGCAAUGGAGGAAACUCUGACCCAGCAACGCCGCGUGAAUGAUGAAGGUCUUCGGAUUGUAAAGUUCUUUUUUAAGGGAAGAAGAAAGUGACGGUACCUUCGGAAUAAGCCUCGGCUAACUACGGGCCAGCAGCCGCGGUAAUACGUAGGAGGCAAGCGUUAUCCGGAAUGACUGGGCGUAAGGGGUGCGUAGGUGGUUUGACAAGUUGGUAGCGUAACUCCGGGGCUCAACCUCGGCACUGCUACCAAAACUGUCGGACUUGAGUGCAGGAGGGGCAGGUGGAAUUCCUGGUGUAGCGGUGAAAUGCGUAGAGAUCAGGAGGAACACCGGUGGCGAAGGCGAUUUGCUGGACUGCAACUGACGCUGAGGCACGAAAGCGUGGGGAGCAAACAGGAUUAGAUACCCCAGUAGUC